CUUACCAGGAAAAGUUUCAACAUCCAAUCCACCUCUUGUGUUUUGUGUGAUGUUGAACACAAUGAUCACCUAAUGCAUCUCUUUUUCAGUUGUGAUUUCAGUCAAAACUUCUGGAUGAACAUUGUUUUCCAAUGGAAAACAGAUUAUGAUCCUAUAGAUAUGAUGUUGGAGGGCAGAAGGAACAAUAACUUUAUGUGCUGCAAAGAAUGUUUGAUUGCAGGAUGUUGGAGUUUAUGGAAGCACAGGAAUGGUAUUAUUUUUGAUCACAAAGAAAGAAAUAUGGCAUAUUGCAUUAGCACCUUCAAAGAACACUUUGGCAUGAUCAUCAAGAAAGCAAAACCUAGUUUGAAGGAAGGAAUGCAGAGCUGGUUGGACUACUUGUAG
rnacentral:rRNA from 1 species